AAUGCAGUGGGGCCUAGCACCAAGGUAGGCCGGCAGGUCUACACACUUCAUCGAGCCACAACAGGGAACUUUCGGACAAUGGAGAGAAGCAAGGCCUUGAUGAGAAUCCCAGGCAGAGGCUGGCAAGGGGAAGGCUUCUUCAUGGACCUCAGGGCAGUGGGCUUGCAGUGUCGGAGCCUGGCACUUUGCCCUCCCGAUAAAGGCAUCUGCCAAAAGACCAUUCUCUACUAUUCUGCCCAACUGUACCCAGAUUUCCAGUGGCUUUCUUCCCACCAAAAACUCCUGCCUCAAGUUUCCCAGUCUCCAGGAAGACUCCUUAAGCAAGAAGCAAAGCACCUACUGCAAAUUAGAUACUUUCAAAUGCGUGAUGUUAUGCCUGGCAGUGAUGUUUGGAACUCCCUUAAGCAGAAGUUUUCCUGAGGAUGGCAGAAUCAAGAGAUGAAAAGAUCCUAGUUCCCUAAGGACAUUGUGGAGCCAUUAAUUUCACCAUGCCUGAAGCCUGCUAUACUCUGGACAUCCUGUUAUUUGAGAUAAUAAAUUUCCUAAUUG